rnacentral:rRNA from 1 species
CUACGGGUUGCUCCAGUGGGGAAUAUUGGGCAAUGGGCGCAAGCCUGACCCAGCAACGCCGCGUGAGGGAAGAAGGUUUUCGGAUUGUAAACCUCUGUCCUUGGGGACGAAGAAGUGACGGUACCCAAGGAGGAAGCUCCGGCUAACUACGUGCCAGCAGCUGCGGUAAUACGUAGGGAGCAAGCGUUGUCCGGAAUUACUGGGCGUAAAGGGUGCGUAGGCGGCAUAUUAAGUCAGGUGUGAAAUACUCGGGCUCAACCCGGGGGCUGCAUUUGAAACUGAUAUGCUUGAGUGUGAGAGAGGAAAGUGGAAUUCCUAGUGUAGCGGUGGAAUGCGUAGAUAUUAGGAGGAACACCAGUGGCGAAGGCGACUUUCUGGCUCAUAACUGACGCUGAGGCACGAAAGCGUGGGGAGCAAACAGGAUUAGAUACCCUCGUAGUC